CGGCGACACCGCCACUGCGGCAUUGUCGUCGCGAACGACAAUAUCGUCGGCGCCAAUGAGAUUCUCGUUUAAUGAUACAGUCCUUGCCGUUCCGUCCACUGCGUCUACCUUGAAAACUUUACCGGUGCUCGAUUGUACUACGAGAAGGUAACCUUUUGAAACGUAGGUGAUUCCGUUUAGACCUAGGAGAUUGUUAUCGUUCGCCGGAGAGGUGAACAGUGGAGAUUUUGAGAAGAUUGAUGCUGUUCCGUCGGUGGUGACUUUCCAGAUGAAGUUUUCGGCGGAGUUUGUUACGUAUGCGUUGCCGGUGUGAUCGACGGCGACGUCGUUGGCGGCGGAGGGCGUGGAUUCAUCGUCGGAGUCAGUGAGGAGAGAGAUAAAGAUGCGGCGGCGGGAGCGGAGGUCGUAGGCGGCGAGGGCGUUGAACGGAGGGAGGGGAGGAGGGGAGUGGACAACGGUGAGGAGACGGUUACGGCGGGAAUCGACGGCGAUUCCGAGGAUGGAGGAGUUGGAGGGGAGGGUGAUGUCGGAUAUGAAAGUUUCGACUACACCGGCGUCGGAGACGGCGGUGAUGAUGCGGCGGCGGAGGGAUCCGAUGAGGAAAUGUUGAGCGCGUGGGUCCCACGCGAGGGAUUCAGGGUAGAGGUUAGGGGAACGGAAGUUGAUGACGUGUGCAUCUCGACAGAGAAUUGGGCUUGGGCCCAGGCCCAAUAAGAAGAAGAUUAAGGUGAUUAAGGUGAUGGAUUUGUGUGAUGAUGAGAAUAAGAUUAACAUGGUGAUUGAUGAUUAGAGAAUGUUAAAUGUGAUUA
rnacentral:lncRNA from 1 species